rnacentral:lncRNA from 1 species
GCCCAGUCACUAAUCGACUGUGGCAUAGAAUAUGUUGUUGGUUGGGCUAUAACAGAACAAUUAGUAGUUGGAAUACUGAAAUCCAAUGGGUAUGUUGCCUAGCUAGAAGUAAACUGUGGCAUAAUGUUGUUGCUACUACUGCCUUUGUUACUACAGUUGCACUCAUUUGGAGAAAUAGAAACUAUAUCAGAUUUGAGGGGAAACCAUUAGAGGAAAAUCAGUUCUGUCGCGAGGUUGCAUUGCUCAUUCAUAUUCGGG